UACGUAGGUGGCAAGCGUUGUCCGGAUUUAUUGGGCGUAAAGAGCGCGUAGGCGGCUUGUUAAGUUCGGGGUGAAAUCUCCCGGCCUAACCGGGAGGGGUCCUCGGAUACUGGCAGGCUAAGAGGGGAGCAGAGGAGAGUGGAAUUCCCGGUGUAGUGGUGGAAUGCGUAGAUAUCGGGAGGAACACCAGUGGCGAAGGCGGCUCUCUGGGCUCUACCUGACGCUGAGGCGCGAAAGCGUGGGGAGCGAACCGG
rnacentral:rRNA from 1 species